rnacentral:tRNA from 1 species
GGUUUGUGGCUCAGUGGUAGAGCGCUCACCUGGCAUGUGUGAAGCACUGGGUUCAAUCCUCAGCACCA